UCGUGAUUUAGGGCGAUUUAGAGUUGGAUUUUGAAUAUGCUGAAGUGGAAGAAAAGAUAGACGAAGGCAUUAUUUCAUCACUUUUUGGAGUCAUUUAGAGCUUCAGGAGUACGAUUUGCCUAGCGAAGUGAACUACGAAGUUGAAGAUCAAGGUAAAAUAAUUCAUCUUAGUAGCAAACAAGGAGGAGAUGACGUGAUUGAAGAAAUUGUGUAUCCAUCUUCGCUGUCCCUUGUGAGGUGAUGACCACAUACAUGCAAGUGCUAUUUUCAUACUUUUGAUAGCAGAAAGAAAAAUCCGUGUGUAAUAUUGAUGUUCAUGUGAUAAUAGGUCGACUCCGUUCAUAUAUUACUGGUGACGGAUAUUUAUUCGAACUAUUUGGACGCUUAAUUGCAUUCGCAAGCACAUCCAUAUUGGAGCUAAGGUUAUGGCUGAAGUGCCGCGGCUUUUGGAGGGGCCCCAUGACGCCGGCCACCGUUGCCACCUAUUUUUGAACCCAAAUAAAGAACAUGAUUAUCGGAGUUUCAGACUUCGAACCGUAAAGAAAACCAGGCCAAUACACAAUUAUUUCAUUCCUCACCUUGACGCUUAUGGACUACAUGCUUUUGCUAGGCUCACAUCAAGCGAAGACCCAUCCCAGUUACGUUCGGACCCAUCCCUUUUGACAUCCCUCGUUGACCGGUGGAGACCUGAAACCCACACCUUUCACUUUCGUUUUGGGGAGCUUGCACCUACACUGAAAGAUGUUUCUAUGAUCCUUGCUCUACCAAUUAGAGGUGAGCCGUUAGUCUCUCGACGAGUGUCUAAAACUUGGGCACAAAAUAUAUC